UACGUAGGGUGCGAGCGUUGUCCGGAAUUAUUGGGCGUAAAGGGCUCGUAGGCGGUUUGUCGCAUCGGGCGUGAAAACUCAGGGCUUAACCCUGAGCCUGCUUCCGAUACGGGCAGACUAGAGGUAUGCAGGGGAGAACGGAAUUCCUGGUGUAGCGGUGAAAUGCGCAGAUAUCAGGAGGAACACCGGUGGCGAAGGCGGUUCUCUGGGCAUUACCUGACGCUGAGGAGCGAAAGUGUGGGGAGCGAACAGG
rnacentral:rRNA from 1 species